rnacentral:rRNA from 1 species
CUAAAGCAUGCUACAUGAUCCGAGGUCAACCUUUGGAAAAUUGGGGGUUUAACGGCUAGAGUCCCUCCGAAUCCCAGUGCGAGACAAAAGUUACUACGCAAAGGAGGCUCCGAGAGGGUCCGCCACUACCUUUGAGGGCCUACGUCAACCGUAGAGCCCCAACGCCAAGCAGUGCUUGAGGGUUGAAAUGACGCUCGAACAGGCAUGCCCGCCAGAAUGCUGGCGGGCGCAAUGUGCGUUCAAAGAUUCGAUGAUUCACUGAAUUCUGCAAUUCACAUUACUUAUCGCAUUUCGCUGCGUUCUUCAUCGAUGCCAGAACCAAGAGAUCCGUUGUUAAAAGUUUUGAUUAUUUGCUUGUGCCACUCAGAAGAAACGUCGUUAAAUCAGAGUUUGGUUAUCCUCCGGCGGACACCCCGCAGAGCGGGGCCGGGGGCCCGGGAGCCGUCCGCCGAAGCAACAGUUAGGUAUGUUCACAAAGGGUUAUAGAGCGGUAACUCAGUAAUGAUCCCUCCACAGGUUCACCUACGGAAG